rnacentral:rRNA from 1 species
GACGAACGCUGGCGGCAGGCCUAACACAUGCAAGUCGAGCGAGCGGCGGACGGGUGAUGAAUGUCUGGGAAACUGCCUGAUGGAGGGGGAGAACUACUGGAAACGGUAGCUAAUACCGCAUACCAUCAGAUGUGCCCAGAUGGGAUUAGCUAGUAGGUGGGGUAACGGCUCACCAAGGCGACGAUCCCUAGCUGGUCUGAGAGGAUGACCAGCCACACUGGAACUGAGACACGGUCCAGACUCCUACGGGAGGCAGCAGUGGGGAAUAUUGCACAAUGGGCGAAAGCCUGAUGCAGCCAUGCCGCGUGUGUGAAGAAGGCCUUCGGGUUGUAAAGCACUUUAAGCGGGGAGGCGUUACCAGCAGAAGAAGCACCGGCUAACUCCGUGCCAGCAGCCGCGGUAAUUC